UCAGGUAGUAACAGAGGGUUCGAUCCUGGCUCGAUUGAACUGCUGGCGGGAUGCUUUACACAUGCAAGUCGAACGGCAGCACGGACUUCGGUCUGGUGGCGAGUGGCGAACGGGUGAGUACGUAUCGGAACGUGCCCAGGGCAGAUAACUACGCGAAAGCGUAGCUAAUACCGCAUACGUCUCUCGGGGAAAGCGGGGACCUUCGGGCCUCGCACUAUUAGAGCGGCCGAUAUCGGAUUAGCCAGUUGGGGUAACGGCUCACCAAGGCGACGAUCCGUAGCUGGUUUGAGGACGACCAGCCACAUUCGGGACUGAGACACGGCCCAGACUCCUACGGGAGGCAGUAAGCGGGGAAUUUUGGACAAUGGGGAAACCUGAUCCAGCCAUCCCGCGUGUGCGAUGAAGGCCUUCGUUGUAAAAAGCACUUUUGGCAGGAAAGAAACGCGGCAUCGGACAGUAAUCGUGCAACUGACGGUACCUGCAGAAGGCUACCAUAACUACGUGCCAGCAGCCGCGGUAAUACGUGGGAAAAAGCGUUGAAUUGAACAGCUGGGCGUAAAGCGUGCGCAGGCGGUUCGGAAAGGAAAGAUGUGAAAUCCCAGAGCUUAACUUUGAACCGCAUUUUUAACUACCGAGCUAGAGUGUGUCAGAGGGAGGUGGAAUUCCGCGUGUAGCAGUGAAAUGCGUAGAUAUGCUGAGGAACACCGAUGGCGAAGGCAGCCUCCCUGGGAUAACACUGACGCUCAUGCACGAAAGCGGGGAGCAAACAGGAUUAGAUACCCCGGUAGUCCACGCCCCAAACGAUGUCAACUAGCUGUUGGGGCCUUCGGGCCUUGGUAGCGCAGCUAACGCGUGGAAGCGAACGUCACAGAUACAAUGGCAGAUUAAAAACUCAAAGGAAUUGACGGGGACUCUGCACAAGCGGUGGAUGAUGUGGAUUAAUUCGAUGCAACGCGAAAAACCUUACCUACCUCUUGACAUGUCUGGAAUCCCGAAGAGAUUUGGGAGUGCUCGCAAGAGAACUGGAACACAGGUGCUGCAUGGCUGUCGUCAGCUCGUGUCGUGAGAUGUUGGGUUAAGUCUCAAACGAGCGCAACCCUUGUCAUUAGUUGCUACGAAAGGGCACUCUGAUGAGAUCAGCCAGUGACAAACCGGAGGAAGGUGGGGAUGACGUCAAGUCCUCAUGGCCCCAGGUAGGGCUUCACACGUCAUACAAUGGUCGGGACAGAGGGUCGCCAAAUCCGCGAGGGGAGCCAAUCCCAGAAACCUGAUCGUAGUCCGGACUGGCCUGGUGUUCGAAUCGGUGUGAAGUCGGAAUCGCUAAAAAUCAGUGGAUCAGCAUGUCGUGGUACAUGUUCCUUGGCCUGGCACGACACCUGCCUAUUACACCAUGGGAGUGGGUUUUACCAGAAGUAGUUAGCCUAACCGUAAGGAGGGCGAUUACCACGGUAGGAUUCAUGACUGGGGUGAAGUCGUAACAAGGUAG
rnacentral:rRNA from 1 species